rnacentral:rRNA from 1 species
AUGGACGACGUGCAGCGGAAGGAGGCGCUGCUCCUCGCGGUGGGGGUCCUGACGGGAGGCGCCGCGGAUUUCGCCAUCGCCAUGCCCAAGGAAGCCCUGCGCGCCGCAGCCAGGCACCUGGCCCAGCUUGCUCUAGAUAUAGCAGCUUGUGCAGAUGCCUCUGGCUUCGACACCUCCGACCUGCGCGCCGCCGCCAAGGCGCUGUUGCAGGCAGAGGCGGGCAGCAGGUCAGACGCCAUCAGCGACCUGGUACGAGAGUGCCUCAGGUUGGACGGGAUAGUGGCCAUGCGAGAUGCGGCUGCCGCGGACGACCUCCGGCGAGGCGUCCUGGACGUGGCACUGGCCGGGGGGACCCUGCUCCGUCUCCGCGUCCUCCCCGCGCGCGGGUUGGACUUCUUGCUCGCCGCCGCCGAGGGCGGCGCGGGGGGCGAGGUCCCCGAGGCUGAUGCGGACGCCCGCGCAGCGCAGGCGGAGCUCGCGAGGGAGAGGGAGGCGGAGCUCCGGAGGAAGAGGGAGGCCGAGCUCAAGAGGGAGGCCCAUGAGCCCACCACGGCGGCGACGACAUGGUGGCGGCGGCUCGCGUGUCGGUUCUCCAGCGCGAGGGCGACGGGAUCCUGGUGGCGGCUCGCCAGUUGGUUCCCCAAGGAGACGAGCGGCGUCAACGAGGAUGACCCCGAAGCUCCGCUGAUAGCACGCAGGCAGCCUGACCCCAGCCCCGGCCCCGGCCCCAGCCCCUCCCCCUCGGACUGCUCGCCGCCAUGGGGCAACUGGCUCACCAUCCAGACCUUCUCACUCGGCGGGUCCCUGUGCCUGCUCCCUUACAUGGGUCCGGCUGCGCUGCUGAGUGACGCUGCCCACUAUGAUAAUGAUUACAGAUGGUGGGUUCAGCUUGCUUUUCAGAUAUGGUGGUGCCUGGUUAUCGUGGGCGUGCCCUGCGCCUUGUGUUGCCGGUCAAGGAUCGAGCGAAUCUACGCCCGUAUUUCCGCCCACCUCGGAAUGCUGGGUAUGUAUAUUUUCCUCUCCUCUUCUUGUCUCACUGCCACAAAUGAAGAUUGUUUGUUUGGGAGUAAUGGUUUUGUUACUGUUAAAACUGGUAUUACUGUGAACGCCCUUUUCUUCUGUCAUUGGAUGCUGGCCGCCGUUGCCACGAAGCUGAUGAAGAUCUUUCUGGGUGGUGCCGUUGCCUAUUUCCUGUUCUAUUGGAUACGGUGUUGUUGGGUGGGAGAGAUCUGA